GAUGAACGCUGGCGGUCUGCUUAACACAUGCAAGUCGGACGGAAUCCUUAGGGAUUUAGUGGCGGACAGGUGAGUAACACGUAAGAACCUGCCUCUAGGACGGGGACAACAGUUGGAAACGACUGCUAAACCCGGAUGAGCCGAAAGGUAAAAGAUUUAUCGCCUAGAGAGGGGCUUGCGUCUGAUUAGCUAGUUGGUAGGGUAAAGGCUUACCAAGGCGACGAUCAGUAGCUGGUCUGAGAGGAUGAUCAGCCACACUGGGACUGAGACACGGCCCAGACUCCUACGGGAGGCAGCAGUGGGGAAUUUUCCGCAAUGGGCGAAAGCCUGACGGAGCAAGACCGCGUGGGGGAGGAAGGUUCUUGGAUUGUCAACCCCUUUUCUCAGGGAAGAACGCAAUGACGGUACCUGAGGAAAAAGCAUCGGCUAACUCCGUGCCAGCAGCAGCCGCAGUAA
rnacentral:rRNA from 1 species